rnacentral:misc_RNA from 1 species
GCAAACUUGGUCAUUUAGAGGAAGUAAAAGUCGUAACAAGGUUUCCGUAGGUGAACCUGCGGAAGGAUCAUUACUGAAUAAAGUGUGGUUGGGGGUUGUCGCUGGCAAUCCUCGCGUUGCAUGUGCACACCUCGGCCGCGCUCUGUCAUUCAAUUCCACCUGUGCAUCCUCUUGUAGGCCAGAUUGCCAUUUCAAAAUGCCGGGUGUUCUCCUCGGAACACUUUGCUUUUUUGGUUGGGACUUGCCGUUGCGGCUCAUCAUGCGUUGCUACGGCUCCUCUCGUACGUGGCCGAUCUGGUCUAUGCACCCUUUACCAAACCCUCUCAUGUCUUUGUAUGUAUGAUCAGCUUUUUUUUUUUGAAAGCAAUUGUAUGCACAACUUUCAACAACGGAUCUCUUGGCUCUCGCAUCGAUGAAGAACGCAGC